rnacentral:misc_RNA from 1 species
GAUGAAGAACGUAGCGAAAUGCGAUAAGUAAUGUGAAUUGCAGAAUUCAGUGAAUCAUCGAAUCUUUGAACGCACAUUGCACCCGCCAGUAUUCUGGCGGGCAUGCCUGUCCGAGCGUCAUUUCAACCCUCGAACCCCUCCGGGGGGUCGGCGUUGGGGAUCGGCCCUGCCUCUUGGCGGUGGCCGUCUCCGAAAUACAGUGGCGGUCUCGCCGCAGCCUCUCCUGCGCAGUAGUUUGCACACUCGCAUCGGGAGCGCGGCGCGUCCACAGCCGUUAAACACCCAACUUCUGAAAUGUUGACCUCGGAUCAGGUAGGAAUACCCGCUGAACUUAAGCAUAUCAAUAAGCGGAGGA